ACGACUGCUAAGACUGGAUAGGAAACAAAAAGGCAUCUUUUUAUUUUUAAAAGACCUAGCUAAUGAAGGUAUGCUUAGGGAAGAGCUUGCGCCACAUUAGUUAGUUGGUAGGGUAAAAGCCUACCAAGACGAUGAUGUGUAGCUGGACUGAGAGGUUGAACAGCCACAUUGGGACUGAGACACGGCCCAAACUCCUACGGGAGGCAGCAGUAGGGAAUUUUCGGCAAUGGAGGAAACUCUGACCGAGCAACGCCGCGUGAACGAUGAAGUAUUUCGGUAUGUAAAGUUCUUUUAUUGAAGAAGAAAAAGUAGUGGAAAAACUAUAUUGACGUUAUUCAAUGAAUAAGCCCCGGCUAACUAUGUGCCAGCAGCCGCGGUAAGACAUAGGGGGCGAGCGUUAUCCGGAAUUAUUGGGCGUAAAGGGUGCGUAGGCUGUUAGAUAAGUCUAUAAUUUAAUUUCAGUGCUUAACGCUGUCUUGUUAUAGAAACUGUCUUGACUAGAGUGAGAUAGAGGCCAGCGGAUUUCCAUGUGUAGCGGUAAAAUGUGUAAAUAUAUGGAGGAACCCCAGAAAGCGUAGGCGGCUUGCUGGGUCUUUACUGACGCUGAGGCACGAAAGCGUGGGUAGCAAACAGGAUUAGAUACCCUGGUAGUCCACGCCGUAAACGAUGAGUACUAAGUGUCGGGGUAAAACUCGGUACUGAAGUUAACACAUUAAGUACUCCGCCUGAGUAGUACGUACGCAAGUAUGAAACUUAAAGGAAUUGACGGGACUCCGCACAAGCGGUGGAUCAUGUUGUUUAAUUCGAAGAUACACGAAAAAUCUUACCAGGUCUUGACAUACUCUGCAAAGCUAUAGAAAUAUAGUGGAGGUUAUCAGGGAUACAGGUGGUGCAUGGUUGUCGUCAGUUCGUGUCGUGAGAUGUUAGGUUAAGUCCUAAAACGAGCGCAACCCUUGUCGUUAAUUGCCAGCACGUAAUGGUGGGGACUUUAGCGAGACUGCCAAUUAAACAUUGGAGGAAGGUGAGGAUUACGUCAAAUCAUCAUGCCCCUUAUGAUCUGGGCUACAAACGUGAUACAAUGGCUGUGACAAAGAGUAGCUGAAACGCGAGUUUUUAGCCAAUCUCAAAAAAGCAGUCUCAGUUCGGAUUGAAGUCUGUAACUCGACUUCAUGAAGUUGGAAUCGCUAGUAAUCGCGAAUCAGCAUGUCGCGGUGAAUACGUUCUCGGGGUUUGUACACACCGCCCGUCA
rnacentral:rRNA from 1 species